GACGAACGCUGGCGGCGUGCCUAAUACAUGCAAGUCGAACGCAGUGGGGACGGGUGAGUAACACGUGGGUAACCUCCCAUCAGAGGGGAUAAAACUUGGAAACAGGUGCUAAACCGAUACUGAUGGAUGGACCCGCGGUGCAUUAGCUAGUUGGUGAGGUAACGGCUCACCAAGGCCACGAUGAAUAGCCGCCCUGAUAGGGUGUUCGGCCACACUGGGAUUGGGACACGGCCCAGCCUCCUACGGGAGGCAGCAGUAGGAAUUCUUGGGCACUGGGCGAAAGUCUGACCGAGCAACGCCGCGUGAGUGAAGAGGGUUUUCGGAUCGGAAACCUCUGUUGUUAGGGAAGCGGUAUCUAACCAGAAAGCCACGGCUAACUACGUGCCAGCAGCCGCGGUAAUUC
rnacentral:rRNA from 1 species